CUCACAUUAGUGCUUGGUAACCUUUGUAAAUAUAACUUAAUUACCUGUAAAUAGCUCAAAACAUUUGUUAUAUCUUUUAAAUUUAUAUAUUACUGUAAUAGCUUAGCUUAUCGUUAUCAUAUUCUGCAUGUAAAAUAAUUUUCUGGCACACGCCCCCUGUGGAAAUCAGCUACGGUUGACGGGGUCAGCGUGGAUAAAUAAAGUUCUACUACUACUACUACUACUACUACUACUACUACUACUACUACUACAUUGUUAUGAGCAGAACCGACAUGCAGAACGGACUUGACUUCCACUUUAAUAAUUAUAGUACUGCAGGUCAGGUUUUUUACAAGCGUACAAGGCAGGGGGGGGGAGAAAUUUGAAAGAUAAUAGUCAUAAAUGCAAGGAUAUCAGGUAAUUUUACCAAAAACUAAAUGACCUUCAACAUGCUCC